UCCCCGGGGGGUUUGCCCAGUAACGGCGAGUGAGCGGCAAAAGCUCAAAUUUGAAAUCCUGCGGGAAUUGUAAUUUGAAGGUUUCGUGGUCUGAGUCGGCCGCGCCCAAGUCCAUUGGAACAUGGCGCCUGGGAGGGUGAGAGCCCCGUAUGGCGCACGCCGACUCUUUGUACACCGCGGCUCCGACGAGUCGAGUUGUUUGGGAAUGCAGCUCUAAGUGGGUGGUAAAUUCCAUCUAAAGCUAAAUAUUGGCGAGAGACCGAUAGCGAACAAGUACAGUGAUGGAAAGAUGAAAAGCACUUUGAAAAGAGAGUGAAACAGCACGUGAAAUUGUUGAAAGGGAAGGGCUUGCAAGCAGACACGGUUUUACCGGGCCAGCGUCGAAAAGGGGGGAGGAACAAGAACUCGAGAAUGUGGCGCGCACCUUCGGGCGCGCGUGUUAUAGCUCGUGUUGACGCCUCCAUCCCUUUUCGAGGCCUGCGAUUCUAGGACGCUGGCGUAAUGGUUGCAAGCCGCCCGUCUUGAAACACGGACCA
rnacentral:rRNA from 1 species